CCUUCAGACACGUGUGGAUGAAUCUCAGAUACCGAGUGAAAGCGUCUGGACACUGAGCCCAGACCAUGUAAUAACUUCUUACAUGUAAAAACAGCAGAAAGUGCACCCUGCUGUACACUGACAGCAGACGGGGCUGGGGACGACAGCACAGGUGCACAGGCUGAGUGGCUUGGAGGGGGAGUGGACCGGAGAUGGCCGGGGAGAGCGGCUGCUGUGCUCUGAGUCCUGGUCAUGCUGCCCAGGUCAAGUAGGUAUAGAUCAGUGUGCGCAAAUAUGUCUCUGUGGAGUUGAUUUUAAGAAAAGACAUGUCUGUUUUUAAAUAAGACUUUAAUUUUGUGACAGCUAGGCCUUCCCUUCUGCCUAUAAUCCUUCUCAUAGGCAGAAGGGAGGCUUUAGUCAAAAUGACAGAUGACUUAGGACCAGGCAUCUAUCCCUGUCCGUCCUGUGUGGAGGAUGCUGCAGGCAUGGAAAGGCCUGAAGUCAUCUUUGAAGGAGAUGAUGUUCACUUCUUAAGAAAUUUCUCCCUCAGUUUAAUUAGAUGUAGUUUCUCUCGGUACAAUCUGUGGUUUAUACUUCUUCACGCUGUUUGUAAUCUGAUUCUUUGUGUCCAUUUCUCAUGUCUGUAAGCCUAGUGCCAGCACGGCACAUCAUAAGGACUCUUGCAAACUGGUUGACGGAGUGUUUGAUCACUGCCCUGUCUUUGAGAUAUGUCUAUUUUCAGAGAUGGUCUAGUGCUAGAUCAGAGUUGGGUACUUACCAUUGUGCCUGAGAGUAAUUUGGGGAAACCUGGUGACCUACGCCACACAGUAAUUGAGGGAAUGCUUCCCCCCCCCCUUUUUACAGGUUGCUGCAAAACUGUAAUGAUGACAGUUUGAAUGUUGCACUUCCGAUGAGAAUGCUUGAGGUAUUUUCAUCUGAGAAUACUUACAUGCCUGUUUUACAAGAUGCCAAUUAUGUGGUGUCAGUAAUUGCACAAACUUUGCACUACGUGAUUCAAAAUGGUGAGCCGACAGAGGUGUGGAAGAAGGUAUCCACAAUCACUGGGAAAGAGCAUGGUGGGGGUGGCGGCCAAGGCUGAAUGCUUUACAUGCUGCGUUGAGGUCUUACGCGUGUAAUUAAAGGUAA